rnacentral:rRNA from 1 species
GUAGACCUACGGGGCGCAGCAGUGGGGGAUAUUGCACAAUGGGGGGAACCCUGAUGCAGCGACGCCGCGUGGGUGAAGAAGCGCCCUGGCGCGUAAAGCCCUGUCAGCAGGGAAGAAGAAGGACGGUACCUGACCAAGAAGCCCCGGCUAACUACGUGCCAGCAGCCGCGGUAAUACGUAGGGGGCAAGCGUUAUCCGGAUUUACUGGGUGUAAAGGGGGCGCAGACGGCGAUGCAAGCCAGGAGUGAAAGCCCGGGGCCCAACCCCGGGACUGCUCUUGGAACUGCGUGGCUGGAGUGCGGAGG